UCAAACGGGGCUCCGUGGCCAUUUUGCGGCGAGGCGGAGAUCGCCAUCUUCUCGUUCCUGGGUCGUGCCGCAGCAAUCCGCGUCCAUCCUCGCUCCAGUACCGCUCCCUCGCCUCGAACGCAGUUCAGCCAUCAUCUUGAGCCACCACAGUUAUCGUCAUGUACCCCAACAGGUUCAGGGGCGGCGGUACCCCUUAUAAUAACAACAAUAACAACAGGCGCGGAGGCGCUAAUCUCAACGUGCGCCAGAGUUUCUACGGAAAUCGCGACAAUAGGCCGCCAUUCCAGCAGCAUCAACAACAGCAGCAGAUACAUCAACAACUACUGCAACAGCAGCAGCAAGUACAGCAGCAGCAGAAGCCGCCUCAGGUAACGCAGCAAAAGCCGGUUCAGGUCCCGCCGCAGAAGCCGGUUCAGAUCCCGCCGCAGAAACCGCCGACUCCCGUCAUGGCGGCUCCUCUGGGCAUCAAGACGGCGCCGAGGGUGGAGAAGCCUGGGCCCAACAUCGUCAUCAACAACAGCAACAACAAGCCGCCCCAGCAGCAGAAGCCACCGGUAGCUGUACAGCAGCAGAAGCCACCGGUAGCUGCACCGCAACAGCAGAAGCCGCCGGUGGCUUUACCGCAGCAGCAGCAGCAGAAGCCUCCGGUGGCUGCACAGCAGCAGAAGCCGCCGGUGGCUGCACCGCAGCAGCAGCAGCAGCAGAAGCCGCCGGUCGCUUCACCGCAGCAGCAGCAGAAGCCGCCAGUCGCUUCACCGCAGCAGCAGCAGAAGCCCCUCACCCAGCAGCAACAGCAGAAGCCGCAGCCUCAGUUGCCCCAACAGCAGCAGAAGCCGCCUUUGACCCCGCAGAUACAACAGCAGAAGCCGCAGCAGAUACAACAACAGCAGCAGAAGCCGCAGCAGAUACAACAGCAGCAGAAGCCGCAGAUUCAGCAGAUUCAGCAGCAACAGAAGCCGCAGAUACAACAGCAGCAGAAGCCGCAGAUUCAGCAGCAGCAGAAGCCGCAGAUACAGCAGCAGCAGAAGCCGCAGAUUCAGCAGCAGCAGCAAGGACAACAGAGUUUGCAGCAGCAGCUUCAGCAGAAGCAACAGGCGAAGGCCGCAGAGGAGGCGGCGACCAAGGAGGAGCAGCAGAGGCAGCUGGCGCUCGACCUCAAGACGUUCAGGAAGCCGGGCGAGAAGACCUACACACAGCGAUGCCGCCUCUUCGUGGGCAAUGUCCCCAGCGACCUGAGCGAGGAGGGGUUCCGCAAGAUGUUCGCCAAGUACGGCGAGCCGUCCGAAAUAUUCCUCAACUCCGACAAAGGCUUCGGCUUCAUCCGCCUGGAGACGCGCACCAUUGCCGAGUUGGCCAAGGCAGAGCUGGACGGCAUCAUGAUGCGUAACCGGCCUCUGCGUGUGCGUUUCGCCACGCACGGGGCCGCCCUGUCGGUACGGAACCUCUCGCCUAUGGUUUCCAAUGAGCUGCUGGAGGAGGCCUUCAGCCUAUUCGGCAUGGUGGAGCGCGCCGUCGUGGUGGCGGACGAGCGUGGCCGCUCCACCGGCCGUGGUAUCGUCGAGUUCGCUACCAAGCCUGCGGCACGAAAAGCACUGGACCGUUGCACGGACGGCGCCUUCCUGCUGACUGCCUCGCCCCGGCCCGUGAUCGUGGAACCACUGGAGCAGUAUGACGAGGAGGACGGGUUGCCGGAGAAGUCCAUUCAGAAGCACCCACUCUACCAGAAGGAACGGGAGCAGCCACCUCGCUUUGCGCAGCCUGGCUCGUUUGAGUGCGAGUUUUCAACACGGUGGAAGUCUCUCGAUGAGAUGGAGCGUCAACAGAGGGACCAGGUGGAAAAGAACAUGAGGGAGGCUCGUGAGAAACUGGAUGCUGAGAUGGAGGCAGCUUCUCACGAGCACCAGGCCAUGCUCAUGCGCCAAGAGUUGUUGCGGCGUCAGGAGGAGUUGAGGCGCUUGGAGGAACUGAGAAACCAGGAGCUCCAGAAGCGCAAGGAAAUUGAGAUGAGACACGAGGAGGAACGCAGGCGGCGCGAGGAGGAGAUGAUCCGGCGCCAGCGCGAACAGGAGGAAAUGCUCCGUCGCCAGCAGGAUAGCUACCGCAUGAACUACAUGGAGGGCGCCAGAGAAGGCGAGAUGCGUAUGACUGAUUUGGGGGCCCGCAGCAACAUGUCCAUGACAGAUGGGUAUGGGCAGGCUGUGACGGGCAACCAGGGCCAAAACGCCAUGCUCGGCAUGAAUUACCAGCAGCAGGCUGGGGCAAGUAUGGGCCAGGCGGGGGCAGGAGCGACCGGAGGGAUGGGCAGCCCCAUGAUGGGCUCGGCCAACAACGGCAUGGCAACGCCUGUGCAGCCGGGGUGACGUGACCUCUUGUGGAGUAACCUUUGGUGAAACACAGCGCGGAGGAGGAGGGCGGGGGCACUGCAGAGUUUGAAAUGCAUCGGCAAAGAGUACCGCAAAUGUGGCUUCCAUCGGGAGAAUGAGGCACCGCGUCGGGAGAACACCGACGCUGCGUCUGCAGGACAGGACGCCAGAUCUGCAGGACGGGACGCCGGAUCUGCAGGACGGGAUGCUGGAUCUGCAGGAUGGGACGCCGCGUCUGGAGGACGGGUUGCUGCACCACAAGCUGCGAUUUCAGCAAUAAGAGGAGAUCUCCCUGCGAGCUCAGAAUCGCAGGCAACGUCAGCCUGCCCCGAACCAGUGACACCUCAAAUUAAGAAGCGUACCGCAAGCCACCACAAACGCCGUCAUCAUGAUCUGGGCACAAUUGGUCUCAGCCAGAAGCGGCGUCAUGUUUUGAGUAGUUAUAUGCACUUCAACCGAUCAUGCCAGCUUUCUACAGGGUAAAUCCCGAACAGCAACAACAACUUUACAGAUUCAUUCGUAUUAGAUCAUCGUUACGAGAAUAAUCGUCCCCACCCCCAAUUACGAAUGGACAGCCGUGGCAGCAUAUUAAACUGCUUCGGUAAGAUGGGGAGGCGGCUACUCCUGCGCAGCAGCUACUGGAAAGUGGCGUCGUGGUAGCGCUCCAGGCCUGCGCGUGCCUCAAUCUGUCUAAGGCACUGCUCCACGUCGGUCCGUAGUCUUUUCUCGUCCGCAUGCUGCGUCUACUCACAGCAGGGGGACAGCACAAUGAGGCAUGGUGGGCGUAGGGUGAGACACGGCGGGCGUAGAGCCCGCAGGAACAGCAAUGGGCAGGGAGCCGGCUUUGUUUCCCCGGUGCUGCACUUGUUACUCAUUUAAGGCCGAGUCGACCGGGGGGAGGGCCCGCUCGUGGGAAUCGAACUCAGAUCACCGGGGUUAGAGCGCAGUGCACUAACCACUGUGCCACCGUUACGCAGACGUAAUGAGUGUGGAGGUGUAUGCACGCACACUUACCGAAUGGAUGAAAGGGUUGAGGGUGGAGAGAUGGUGCCAUAACGAGCGGCAAUGGGGGUGUCUCCCUGACCGACGGGAGGCCACGGCUCAAACCCAAGUGUUACGGGCGGAGUGAGUGUUCAUGAAGGGAAGUUACUGAGCAGACGAUCCCUCUCGUUUGUGAAAGUUACAGGUGACAAGUGUUAUAUGACCGGUGGUCAUGGCUCAGGACAACUUUGGAGGCCUGAAAAUGAGUGCAUGGCUCGGCCGUGCUGGCGCAGCGACCUCGAACACUCUGGGACAUCACCACUGGUCACCCUGACCCAGUGGUGGAAAUUCUACAUUCCCUUUAGUCCAUGGGCCUGAGCAGAAUCUGGUAGCACCUGACCUGGCACAACUUACACAAGUAUUUUUUUCCUCAUUAAUACUUUUGUAGUGUCAACGAUUCAAAGACCCCCGCUCUCGGCUCCUUUUAUGGAGGUUGAAGGUGGGAAGCAUUGGUCUUAAACCAGAGACUCACUGCACAACAUGGGCUUUUUCUGCACUGCCCUCUGCUGCCCGAAACAUUUCCCUGCGGCCUCUUCACAUGAAGUAUGGUGAAAAAAAACAACCUGGCGUGGCAAGGCCUUCAUUCAUUGCUUAGAAAUAGCUGUAAAUUAUUUUGUGCAAAUACUCUGUACAAUAUACCUCCAUACAAUACUACGAUAGAAUCUACAUUAGGAAUCAAUUGAGUUCUGUAAAAAUAUUAAAUUAUGAAAUCUAUAAUGGUACAGAAUCCACACCAGUGGGAAUGUAGAGAAGGAAGUGUUACAAAUGCAAAUGAUUAAUAAUACAUUAUUUUAAACAUUUAUUGCAUGUUGUUGGCCAUGAUAAUUGACUGGAAUCAAUGAAUCGUGGUGUCUUUAUUAAAGUUAGUGGACAGAAGCAUGUGCACUUGGAUUAUACGAGGUCUUGGGAAACACUUCACAAAGUAUUUUGAGUUGACCAAUCUAGCAGCUUUGCACCCCACACACAGUCUUGUGGUACAGCCUCAUAGACAUCCACUGUUGGGCUUAUUGCUCUCAGCGGGCACCUAUUAAGUCCCACGUAAUAAUAUUUUACCUGGCCAGGUUGCUUGGUGGUAGAGCCAGCGGCUUGCAAUCGGGAAGGUUGCAGGUUCAAAUCUUGGUUCGGGUUUGACUCAGCCACUCAUUCGUUGAGGGUCAAUAUAUAAUGUACUGUACCUCUUUGGUUCUUUCGGUAAAGUCACGUAGGUAUAAAAUAAAUUAAAUCACGACGUUUCGGGCGCAUAACAAGCGUCCAUCAUCAGGUGGGAAAGCAUGGUCUGCUGCUGAGGUAGACUUUUUAAAAGGUUUGAAAUGGGUGUAGGUCAAGGGUCAUAAAGAAGUGGCCGGGGCGAGUGAUGUUAAUGUGAGAAAUUAGCAUGUAACUGUAAGAUAGCAGAGCGGCCUCCUCGACGAGGGCACGGAAGUGGCUAUCACUAAGUCGACUUCUCUAAUUGAUCAGACCAAGCAGAGCUCCCUAAAACCUUGGGCUGCUAGACCACCCAGAUUUUAUGGCCUUCCUAAAAUCCACAAAGUAGGUACCCCGCUCCGUCCUAUCGUCUCCACGAUUAACUCACCCACCUACAAACUGGCCCGAUUUCUAUCUGAGACUCUGCUUCCUUUUACUGGCAAGUCCAUCUCAGCUGUACUUAACUCAGUUCACUUGGUUUCUCUAAUCAAGGACAUCUCACUCUCUCCGGAUGAUUUGCUUGUCAGUUUCGAUGUAGUCUCUCUGUUCACCAAUGUACCUGUACUUGACACCAUAGCAAUUAUUGAAGACUUGGUCGAACAAGGACUGAAUCCAGAUGUAAAACAUUUUUUCAAAAAUAAUACUUAUUACCGGUAUAAAUUGGCACCAAUGGUAUUAACAAAUACGUCACAAUUUUGUCCUUAACUCGACGAAAUUUAUUUUCUAUUGCAUGUAAUUUGGUGUUCUUCAUCUGAUCCGAGUGCCCUAGAAGGUGUCCAAAUUUUACGACUCUCGUUCGAAAGAUAACUGCUGGAGACACGACCACAUUCCAUGCAAAACGCCGUAUGCACUGUACUAAGCCAUGCCAUCUAAACGUACAGUAUCCGAGCAGGAAUUGUAAAAAUAUCUCAUUUAACACGGCAAAACCAGUUGCACCAUUCAAUUUCGCUCAUCCAGUGACAAUGGUUGAGUCAGUGGUUGAAUGAAUUUGAGAAUGGUUGAACGAGUGGUUCAGUCAGUUAGUGGUUGAGGGGAGUGAGUAGUUCAGGGAGCGAGUGGUUGAGUGAUUGAGUGACUGAGCGGCUGAGUGGUUAAGUUAGUGAGUCGUUGAGCGAGUGUGGCUGAUUGAGUGAAAGAGUGAUGGUUGAGUGGUAGAGUAAGUGAUUAAGUGAGUGAGUAGCUUAGUGAGUGCGCGGUUGAGUGGUUGAGUGAGUGUGUGGCUGAGUGAAAGGGUGAGUGGCUGAGUGAAGGAGUGAGUGGCUGAGUGAAAGAGUAGUUGAGUAAGUGAGAUAGUAAUUGGCUGAGUAAGUCAUUAAGUCAGUGAGUGGUUAGGUGAGUGGUUGGGCGAGUUGUUGAGUGACUGGUUGGGUGAGCAAGUGAGUGAAUGGUUGAGUGAGUGAGUGGUUGAGUGAAUUAGUGAGUGGUUGAAUGAGAGUUUGAGUGCAUAAGUGCAUGGUUGAGUGAGUGGUUGAGUUAAUGAUUGAGUGAUUGGUUGAGCAAGUGGCUGAAUGAGUGAAUGGUUCAGUGAGUGAGUGGUUUAUUGAGUGGUUCAGUCAGUGGUUGAGGGAGUGAGUAGUUGAGUGAGCGAGUGGUUUAGUGAGUGAAUAGCUGAGUGAGUGAGCGGCUGAAUGAGUGAAUGGCUGAAUGAGUGAGUGGCGGAGUGAAUGAGUGAGUGGUUGAGUGAGUGAAUAGCUGAAUGAGUGGUUGAGUACGUGAGUCGUUGAGCGAGUGUGGCUGAGUGAGUGAAUGGCUGAAUGAGUGAGUGGCUGAGUAGGUGAGUGAGUGGCUGAGUGAGUGAAUGGUUGAGUGAGUGAGAGAGUGAUGGUUGAGCGGUAGAGUAAGUGAUUGAGUGGGUGAUUGGGUGGUUGAAUGAUUGGUUGAGUGAGUGAUUGAGUUAAAUAUUGAGUGAGUGAAUAUCUGAGUGAGUGAGCGGCUGAGUAGUUGAGUGAGUCGCUGAGUGAGUGUGUAGCCGAGUGAGUUUGUGGCUGAGUGAGUGAAUGGCUGAAUGAAUCACAGCUAUGAUAAAAAUGGACAUCAGCAUAUAAGUGGUCUUGUAUUCACUCAGUAAAUGAAGUUUAAUAUAAAAUUGUACACUCACAGGAUCGAGGAUCGAGUAAACCGAGUCACGGCUAUGAUUAAAUUUGGCAUUAGCAUAACAUUGAUUUAUAAGCAUACAAAAGGACUUUUUGCAGAGCGAUUUAACACAAAAGUCUGAUAGACUGAAUUAAUUUUUUUAGAUAAAAAGUACAUACAAAUCGGGCAUCAAUACCGUUGCUUUGUAUUAUCUGUGAAACGCAGAAUAUUUCAUAUAAAAUCGGACAUUUUGAGCUGACUGAGUAGAAUCAAUACAAUUAGUCUCGAUUCACAAUCAACAAAUACCAUAUAUGGUAAAAUCUGAUCGGUGAUUUUUAUGAUGUUAUAAAGCACUUUGAUGUUAUAAAGCACUUGCCCCAACAGUUUGUUAAAGGCUACACGGGGAUCAUUGUGUGCGAGUAGCUCACAGAUCCUUGACAGAUCUGGACAUUGUCCGAUCAUCAGUGAGCUCCUCCGGCAGGCGAGGCUGCGUUAGCUGUUGUCUGCAUUAAGAGGUGUUAACUAUCCCACACAGAGGAGUCUGCUUACAGUACAGAUAAGAGGUUCUUCACGUACCGUGCCCCGUGUCACCUGAAUGUUAAAUGGGGCCCCGGUAAUUCAGCGUCCACUGUUGAAUCAUCUUUCACCAUCAUCAUACGUCCAUUAAGGCCAAUACGACGAGGCCAUAGAUCAGGCAUGUUCAUACGGCCCGCAGCUUCGGUCUUAUAAUGUGUUAUUUAUGGCUCGCUAGCUCUGUCAGAAUAAAUCGUAAAACUUUAAAGAUGUAAUUCCUCCUUCUGCCACAUGGUGGCAGCACCAUUGUAAUGCUCUGUGGCUCUGCAUCCGUGCCCCGAACCCUUCUCGAAUUAUUGCUGCCAUGGCGACUGCAAAAAAAAGGAGAAAAGUUGACAGUGAGGGUCGCCGCUUUCAGGAGCGGUGGGAAUUACAAUACUUCUUCACUGGAAAUCGAGGAAAUUGUGUUUGUCUAAUUUGUAAAGAGACGGUUGCCUUGUUUAAGGAUUUCAACGUAAAGAGGUACUACGAGACUAAACAUGCUACAACAUACGACAAGCUAACAGGGAGUGACCGCGCUGAAAAAGUAAAGCAACUUCAAGCUGCUCUGGCAUCGCAACAGCGAUUCUUCACGCCGGCCUGUGAGUCAAAGGAAAACAUCACCAAAGCCAGCUACGAAGUGGCCAUGUUAAUAGCUAAACAUGGCAAACCUUUUACUGAAGGUGCGUUUAUCAAAGACUGUCAUAAAAAUGGUGGAGAACAUUUGCCCCGAGAAGAAGCAAGAAUUUAUUAAUGUUUGCCUGGCACGCAACACUGUGGCACGGAGAGUUGAGGACAUAUCGUCAGAUAUUCAGAGACAACUGGGGGACAGGGGAGUGGCUUUUAUUUCUCAUUAGCCUGCGAUGAAAGCACCAAUGCAUCUGACACUGCACAACUACUUAUUUUUUUAAGAGGAGUUGAUGACAACAUGAACGUGACAGAGGAGCUACUUGACCUCAAAAGCCUUAAAGGGCAAACCAGAGGAACAGAUGUAUUCGUUUCUGUUUGUGAAGCUGUUGAUGAUAUGAAACUACCAUGGAGUAAAGUUUAUGGGAUCAUUACCGAUGGUGCGCCUGCCAUGGCUGGUGAGCGAAGUGGAUUGUCCACACUGAUCUGCAAUAAAGUCAGCGAAGAAGCAGGCAACGCUAUUAAACUUCACUGUAUCAUUCACCAACAGGCUCUCUGCGCCAAACAUCUCAAAUUUGACGAUGUUAUGAAACCAGUGGCAAAGGCAAUCAAUUAUAUUCGCUCUAAAGCUCUAUACCACCGACAGUUUCAGCAGUUCUUGCGUGACAUCCAGGCUGAAUACGGUGACGUAAUAUAUCACAACGAUGUGAGGUCGCUAAGUCGGGAGUCCGCACGGCAGCGAUUUUUCUCUCUCAAAGAGAAAAUUGGACAUUUUUUGGGUGAGAAAAGACAACCAAUGGAAGAACUGUCCGUCCUGUAUGGCUGGCAAAUCUGGCUUUUUGGUUGACAUAACGAAGCAACUGAAUGCGCUGAAUGUUAAUCUUCAAGGGAAAGAUGCAGUGGUGAGCCAGCUAUAUGCUGACAUCAAGGCCUUUGAAACCAAACUGCAACUUUUCCAAAAACACUUGUCCCAAACAGAGCCCUGCACCGCGAACUUCCCAGCUUUGAAAGAGGUCAUUGACAGUUUCCCACAGGACAACAUCGGUGCGCAAAUGAGUUAUGCAACAGCUAUCGCAUCACUUUCUGUGGAAUUUAACAAAUGCUUUCGGGACUUUGCAGUUAUUGAAAAGGACAUGUUGCUUUUCUCUUCCCCCUUCUCCGUGGACCCUGAUGCUCCUCCACAGCUGCAGCUGGAGCUCAUUGAGCUGCAGUUUGACGAUGAGUGCCGCGGGAAACAUCAGCACUGUUCUCUUGUUAACUUUUACCGGCAGCUGGACAAAAGCAGGUUUCCUGAAAUGCGGUCAUUCGCUAAGAAAAUGUUGAGCUUAUUCGGCUCCACAUAUUUGUGUGAGUAAACAUUCUCAGUCAUGAACUUAAACAAGAACCGAUUGAGGUCAAGGAUGAGUGACUCCCACUUGCGUGGCAUUUUUCGCAUCUCAACCACUGCCCUCAAGCCAGACCUGGUCUCUUUACUGAAAUCUAGAUCUCAGUAUCACCCUUCUCAUUAGUGUCAGCAAGUUAUCUGUUCCUUGAUACAUCUGAAAUUGAGUGUUUUGAACGGUAACAUGUCACUAUUAACAAUGAAAAGCCUAAAGCACACUAAUGCACUUGGACUUAUGGCACUUGUUUUAUUAAACUCUUGAAUGAGAUUUGGUUAUAACUGUUGAUGUUAUGUACCUGUAGAUGUGACACAAACUCUUGCUUUCUGAAAGAUCUUGUAAAAGACAAGGGCAAAAUUCACUUGUUUUAAAGUUGAAUGAUAACAGUUCUCUUUGUAUUACUUAUAACUCCAGUUUAAAAUGUUCAUGAGGCAAAUAUAUUUAACUCAUGGAAAUUUAAGGUAUUCUAUACCGUUUGUUCAAUGUUAUCUGAUUAAUUGAAAGGCAGAAUUGUGUUUUUAGAGUUGUGGCUUACAUUGUCAAUUGAAAAAUAAAGGUAAUUGUGACAAUGACAAUUGUUUUAUAACA